AAAAAGCCCUUACUUGUACUGUACAUUUUACGCGAACUAUACGCAUACACAGGCAAAUCAAAUAGAGAGAAAUUAAUCAACAUUUUAAGGUGAUUUUAGCUUUUCUAGUUUUUUCUUCUUUCUUGAUUAUAAUGUGACAAUCUCGGGAAAGGAGAGUUCAGCUAGCCCGUUAAAGGAAGAUCAAAAUAUAGGCUCUCACACACGUAGUGGAAGACGAUAUGAUACCCGAAUAGAACCAGUGAAAGAAAGAGAUGUGCUGGUUGAGCAAAAGAAAGGAAAACCAGUUGAACUUGAUAUGCCUGUUAAUGAACCAGUGAAAGAAGAGGAGGCUAAGGAAUUCUUGAAAUUUCUGAAACAUAGCGAGUACAGUGUGGUGGAACAGUUACGUAAACAGCCAGCCCGCAUAUCUAUAUUGGCUUUACUCCUGAGUUCUGAGGUGCAUCGGAGUGCAUUGAUGAAGGUGCUAAAUAAGACCUAUGUAACCAGCGAUAUUUCCGUCAAUAAGUUGGGUCGGUUAGUUAACAACAUAAGUGCAGACAACUUUAUCUUUUUCAAUGAUGAUGAGAUUCCGCCAGGAGGGAUGGGAUCUACCAAAGCUUUGUAUAUAACUACCAGAUGUAAAGGAUACAUGUUGCCAGGGGUAUUGGUAGAUAAUGGUUCAGCGUUGAAUGUGUUACCUUUGUCCACACUAAACAAGUUACUUGUGGAUAGUUCUCAUAUGAAAAGAUGUCAGAACAUAGUACGAGCCUUUGAUGGCACGGAGAGGAGGGUCAUGGGGAGAAUAGAGAUGCCCUUGUUAUUUGGCCCAACCACAUAUGAGGUAGAUUUUUUAGUAAUGGAUAUUAAGCCCUCUUACAACUGCUUGUUAGGAAGACCAUGAAUACACUCGGCAGGGGCAGUACCUUCAUCAUUACAUCAAAAGCUGAAGUUGGUGUCAGAAGGGCGGUUGGUAACGAUAAAUGCUGAAGAAGAUAUUAUCGCGACCGUGAGCUGUGAUGCACCGUAUGUAGAAACAGAUGAGGAAGCCAUUGAGUGUUCUUUUUGGUCUUUGGAGUUUGUGAAUGCAACAUUCAUUACUGAGGGAAGUAGAAUUCUGGAGCCAAAAAUGUCCGAAACCACGAUAAUGGUUUUACAGCUGAUGGUAGGCCGGGGAGCUGUGCCAGGAAAAGGACUUGGAAGAUGGCUUCAAAGAAGAAUUGCAGUUCCAAUAUUGAAAGACAAAUAAGAUCAUUUUGGUUUAGGGUUCAGGCCAGAUGCAAGACAAAGGAAAAAGGAACUAGAAAGAAGACAAGAAAGAAGAAGAUCACGGGCGAGUGGUGAGGAAAUCAAGUGGGAGCCCAUGAUAAUUCCUCAUAUCUUCAAGUAUUUUGUAUCAGGAGGCAUUAUUUAUCCUGAACGAGGGAUACUGGAGAAAGAAAGCAUAGAAGAAGCAUUAGGAGAUGUGUACAUCAAUGCCAUAUUUGAAGAGACAAUUUAAAGAGGGGAUUUCGUCCAAUAUUCGUUCAUAUGAGCCUGGGAGUGUUCUAGACAAUUGGACUGCAGAAGAUCUUCCUAUAGUUUUUAGAGCUCACUCAGAGUAAUGUUCGAAACAAACUUGUUAUUUUAAGUCUAGAAACAAUAAAGAUUUCUUUGUGAAAUAGGCUCAUGUUCAAACAUCAUUAUUUCAAUGAAGUACAUUUUUACUAUCAUUUUGAAUAAAUAUUAUUCUUUUCACAAGCAAUUGUGUUAUUCUUUCUAUUUAAAUAAUUAUCUUAAUUCUUUCUUUAAUCAUUCUUUUAUUCAUAAACAUAUCAUACAAAACAAUAAUUACCAAAUUCAUUCAUUCUUUGUAUAUUCUUGUACCUAUAAUAGGUCCCUGGAUAUCAAUGUCAUGAGCAAAUCUGUUACUGACUCAGACUCACUAUUUGAGCAAGACAUGUGUUUAGAAGGAUCUCAUGACUUUGAAGAUGACAAAGAUUGUGAUUUAUCUCCGGACUUGUUAAGGAUGGUAGAACAAGAGGAAAAGCAAAUUUUUCUUUAUAAAGAAGCCAUAGACAUGGUAACUUUGGAGGAGGGGAAACUUGUAAAAAUUGGAACAUGCAUAUCUGAAGAGACAAAGCGAGACAUUGUUGGGUUACUUCAGGAAUUCAAAGAUGUUUUUGCAUGGUCAUACCAGGAUAUGUCCGGUUUAAGUCCUGAUAUUGCGGUACAUUACCUUCCCAUAAGAGAAGACUGCAAGCCAGUACAGCAGAAGCUUCGAUGAAUGAGGUCAAAUAUUAUCUUAAAGAUCAAGGAGGAAGUCAAAAAGUAGUUUGAUGCAGGAUUCCUUCAGGUGAUCAAGUACUCAGGUGGGUAGCCAAUGUUGUGCCUGUUCCCAAGAAAGAUGGUAAGGUGCGAAUGUGUGUGGAUUAUAGAGAUCUAACUAAGGCAAGCCCAAAGGACAACUUCCAUUUACCUCACAUUGAUACGCUAGUGGAUAAUACGGCUGGUUACUCAUUGUUUUCCUUCAUGGAUGGUUUCUCGGGGUAUAAUUAGAUCAAGAUGCAUCCUGAGGACAUGGGAAAGACUACUUUCAUAACCUUGUGGGGCAUGUUCUAUUACAAGGUGAUGCCAUUUGGAUUGAAGAAUGCUGGAGCAACGUAUUAGAGAGCUAUGGUGAAUUUAUUCUAUGAUAUGAUGCACAAGAAGAUUGAAGUAUAUGUUGACGAUAUGAUAGCCAAAUCUUGAACUGAAAAGGAGCUCAUCCAGGUGUUGAGAAAGUUGUUCAUAAGAUUGAAGAAGUUUCAGUUAAAGUUUAAUCCAACAAAGUGUACUUUUGGGGCUAGAUCUGGAAAGCUAUUGAGUUUUGUGAUCAGUGAGAAAAGAAUUGAGAUUGAUUCUGACAAAGUCUGGGCUAUACAGGAGUUGGCUCUACCACGUGCCCAAAAAGAAGUUCGAGGUUUCCUCGAAAGACUAAAUUACAUUGCGCGGUUUAUUUCUCAAUUAACAAAGAAGUGUAACCCUAUAUUCUGUCUUCUUAAAAAGCAUAACCCAGGGGAAUGGGAUGAUGAAUGUCAAAAGGCUUUUGAUAAAGUUAAAGAAUAUUCAAGUCCUCCAGUGUUAUCACCCCCAAGUUCAGACAAGCCGUUGAUACUGUAUUUGACCGUGUUUGGUAAUUCAAUGGGAUGUGUGCUUGGUCAACAUGACGGAUCAGGAAGAAAAGAAAAUGCAAUAUAUUACCUCAGUAAGAAAUUCACUGAGUGUGAGUUGAGAUAUUCGCCAAUUGAAAAAUUGUGUUGCGCUUUGGUUUGGACAGCACGAAGAUUGAGGUAAUACAUGUUGUAUCAUACCACCUGGUUAAUUUCAAAGUUGGAUCCUUUAAAGUAUAUGAUGGAGUCAAAUGCCUUGAAUGGAAGGAUGGCUAGGUGGCAAAUUUUGCUUUCUAAAUUUGACAUAAUCUACAUGAGUCAAAAAGUUGUAAAAGGAAGAGCAAUAGCAGAUUUUCUGGCUAGUCGAGCUCUAGAAGAUUAUGAGCCCUUGAAUUUUGACUUCCCCAAUGAAGAGAUAGUGUAUAUAGCAGCUGCUGAAGAGGAAAACACGAAAGGUCACUGUUGGAAAUUGAAUUGUGAUGGAGCCUCAAAUGCUGUGGGUAAUGGAGUUGGGGUAAUUCUAGUAUCCCCAGUUGGAGAUCAUUAUCCAUUCACAUGUAAAUUGGAUUUUGAUUGUACGAAUAAUAUGGCAGAAUAUGAAGCAUGUAUCAUGGGGCUCAGAGCAGCUAUAAAGCGCAAGAUCAAAUCAUUGGAAGUAUAUGGAGAUUCUGCAUUGGUAAUUUACCAACUUCGAGGUGAAUGGGAGACAAGAGACACUAAGCUAAUCAAUUAUAGAAGGCUGGUGUUGGGGUUAGUUGAAGAGUUUGAUGGUAUUAUUUUCAAUUAUCUCCCGUGUGACGAAAACCAAAUAGCAGAUGCUUUGGUUACUUGGGCUUCCAUGAUCAAAGUAAGCAGGCAAGAGGAUGUGAAGCCCAUUCGGAUGAGUAUUUAUGAGGCCCAGUGUUAUUGUUAUAAUAUAGAGGAAGAAGAAAGAGAUGAUCAUCCUUGGUAUCAGGAUAUAUUGCGAUAUGUGAGAAACCGUGAAUAUCCAGAUCAAGCCACGGAGAAUGACAAAAGAACAUUGAGAAGGCUUGCCUGCGAUUAUGUUUUAGAUGGAGAGAUCCUGUACAAAAGAAGGAAGGAUCAGGUACUGUUGAGAUGUGUGGAUGCCGUGGAGUCCAAGAAAAUCUUGGAAGAAGUGCAUGAAAGUGUUUGUGGAACGCAUGCCAAUGGGUUCACAAUGGCCAGACAAAUUAUGAGAUUUGGAUAUUAUUGGUCGACCAUAGAAGGAGACUGUAUCAAUUAUGCCAAAAAAUGUCAUAAAUGUCAAAUUUAUGGUGAUAAGAUUCACGUGUCUCCCUCGCCUUUGCAUGUUAUGACUUCUCUAUGGCCGUUUUUCAUGUGGGGCAUGGAUGUCAUAGGGUCAAUUUCACUAAAGGCUUCAAAUGGGCAUCUUUUUAUUUGUAUGGUCAUUGAUUAUUUUACCAAGUGGGUGGAAGCUGCAUCAUACGCCAAUGUAACUAAAUUGGCAGUCAGUAGAUUCUUAAAGAAAGAAAUUAUAUGUCGAUAUGGAAUGCCUGAGAAGAUCAUAUCUGAUAACGCGUUGAAUUUGAACAAUAGUACAAUAGUAGAGGUUUGCAGUCAGUUUAAGAUCAGACAUCAUAACUCGUCACCUUAUCGCCCGAAGAUGAAUGCGGCAGUAGAAGCAGCUAACAAAAAUAUCAAGAAUAUUGUGGGGAAAAUUACUGAAACUUACAGGGAUUGGCAUGAGAAGUUGCCAUUUGCGCUCUAUGCUUAUCGAACAUCUGUCAGAACUUCUACCGGGCCAACACCGUUCUCAUUGGUCUAUGAGAUAGAAACAGUUCUACCCAUUGAAGUGAAGAUACCUUCUCUUCGAGUUUUGUCAGAAUUGAAGUUAGAUAAAGUAGAAUAGAUACUGUCUCGUUAUGAUCAGUUGAACUUGAUUGAGGAAAAAAAGCUAAAGGCUAUUCAACAUGGACAGAUGUAUCAAAAAAGAAUGAUGCGGGCUUAUGACAAAAAAGUUCGCCCAAGAGAGUUUCAUGAGGGAGAUUUGGUUUUAAAGAAAAUUCUUCCCAUAUAAAAGGAUUUCAGAGGAAAAUGGAUGCCGAAUUGGGAGGGGCCUUACGUGGUGAAGAAAGCUUUCUCUGGUGGUACAUUAAUCUUAGCCAAAAUGGAUGGGAGAAAUUUGUCUAAUCCAGUGAACUCGGAUGCAGUCAAAAAGUACUACGCUUAACAAGAGAUGGAAGCCAAAGUGAAAACCCGUAAAGGGCGCUUUGAGGCUUUCGGGGGGAAAAAAGGGCUAAAAUGAAAACCCGCAAAGGGCGCUUUAGGACCAAAUAAAAAUAGAAAUGGCCAAGGUGAAAACCCGCAAAGGGCGUUUUGAGACUCAAUAAUAAUAAUAAUAAAGAAAAUAAAAAGGAGAGGCUAAGGUGAAAACCCGCAAAGGGCGCCUUGUGACCAAAGGGGAUUUGAGUUGAAAACUCGAAAAGGGCGGCUCAAAUAUGGAUCCAAAGUGAGAGGGCUGUGGUCUUGCUAUACUUGAAUUAACCACGAAGGGAGUAUGGUGCAUCUUGGGGCAUUGACAAAGUGCUUCUGAUCUCUUAAACACAUGUCGAGUUUGAAUUAGUUUUCAAGAAGUUCAUACAAAGAAGCUCAGGUUGCGAUAACAAGGGUACCUAGUCUUCAUUUUUCAGCCAAUUGGUUAUCUUUGAAUUAUCCCUUCUUUUCAAGAUAUACGUUCCCAAAUUAAUGAUCAUUGUUGUUCUUUUGAUAGUAUACUUUGAGCUCAAGUUUAAUUCCAUUCUUGUCCAUUAUUAUGAUUUGAUUGCAAGCAUGUUGCAUUGACAUAAUGAUGGAUGAACUAGUGAUGUUUUCACAAUAGAAUUUUUGCAUAUCACUCUAGGAGUUUCUAGAUAAUGUAGGAGUCUGAAGUGGAAUAGUUGUUUAGAAUACGCCCAAGUUUAAGGAUAUAUUUGGAUAAAUCACUUUUUUGAGAUCUCUGUCCAAAUGAUAAUUGAGCAAAAAGGCAAGAUACAGUAUUAUCCUCAAGAAAAGGGAGAUGAUAUUUUGUAUUCGUGCAAAUAUAAAAAGGUACAUUUGAGCUAUAACACCUGAGGAGUGAGGUAGCAAAUUGACUAGAGGAAAAUUCAACUAUGAGUUGUAAUAUUUUGUCUCAAAAAGAGUAGUAAAAGGGACGUUGGAAUUACAAUGGGGCAAGCUCGCCAAAUAAGAUAGGUUUGUCUUUGGGAUAUUCCGUCAAGAGGAUUGUUGAGCAAAUCAGUAACAGCAUAUUAAUGAGCAAUGAGUGACGAUACCCUAAAUUGUUAAAAUGGAAUCAUCCUCAUUUCUGCAUAUAUCAUUCAUAACACAUUUAGUUAGAAGCAUUGAGUUCAUUUCAACCAUAGCAUCCUAAUUAUUUGGCAUAAGCAUGAGCAUAUAAAAUGGAGUCUACAGGAUAGGUUCCCCUGAAGACAAUUCAGUGACAUUGGACUUAGAAUUAAAGAUCUUAUCUCCCUGAAGUUGCAGCGGAGCAGAUCUUCGCAGAUGGUGAAUCUUAUCUCCAUGUAUCGACAAUGGAACAGAUUUUAUCACCAGCCUCAUCUCUCUAAGGUAGCAAGAAAGCAGGUUGAAGAAUGAGUCUUAUCUUCCUGAGGUAGCAAGGAAGCAGACUGAGAUUUGAAGAUCUUAUUUCUCUGAGUUGCACCAAAGCAGAUCUUCGCAGAUGGUGAAUCUUAUCUUCAUGUAUCGAUAAUGGAGCAGAUUUUAUCACCAGCCUCAUCUCUCUGAGGUAGGAAGAGAGCAGGUUGAAGAAUGAGUCUUAUCUUCCUGAGGUAGCAAGAAAGUAGACUGAGAUUUAAAGAUCUUAUUUCACUGAGAUUGCAGUGGAACAGAUCGAGAAUGGUAGAUAUUAUCUUCAUGUAUUGGCAAUGGAGCAGAUUUUAUCACCGGCCUCAUCCCUCUGAUAUAGUAAGAGAGCAGGUUGAAUAAUAAAUCUUAUCUUCCUGAGGUAGCAAUGAAGCAGAUUGAGUUUUGAAUAUCUUAUUUCACUGAGAUUGCUGUGGAGCAAAUCGAGAAUGGUGAAUCCUAUCUCCAUGUAUCGGCAAUGGAGUAGAUUUUACCACUAACCUUAUUUCUCUGAAGUGGCAAGAGAGCGAGUUAAAGAUGGAGUCUUAUCUUCCUGAGGUAGCAAGGAAGCAGACUGAAGAUUGAAGAUCUUAUUUCCUCAAGUAAUGGUGGAGAUCGUAUGGUGAAUCUUAUUGACAAUGGAGCAGAGUUAACCUAUCUAUGUCCUUAAGAGCACAGUCAAGAUUCAACAGAACCGGGCAAAAAUUGGCCCUAUUUGAAGUCUUCGCUCUAUUCUUAUUACACGACAAUGAGCAAAGAGGGGCAGCUGUAAUAGGUCCAUUUCGUCCGGGCCCAUUAGAAUAAAAAAUAGAAAUUUAAAAAACCAAAAAUAAAAAUAAACAAAAACAAAAAAAUAAAUUAAGAUGAAAACCAAUAAAAGUUCAUUACCAAUGUCCUUUUACAAAUUUUUGAGGCUCAAAUAAAGAGCUUAUACCAGCCCAAAUACAAUUUUAACCCAAAUUCAAAAACCCAUAUCCUAAACCUAGCUCAAACCCAAAAGAACUCAAAAGAAAAAAGAAUUUCAGCAGCCAAGAACUCCAGAAGCUCCUGGAAUACACUGGAAGGGCAGCAGAGGGUUGGCUUCCCACGUGAGAUCCCCGCACACAGCCUCCACGCCAUUCGGGUCAUCUCCUCCGUACGGCCAUACCUGCAAUCGAAUGCACGAGAAGCAGCAAUAACAGAAUACAAAAUAGAUUUCUGUAAUUUUUAAAUUGUUAUUUUUCCUGCUAUAAAAAGCCCUCACUUGUACUAUACAUUUUACGCGAACUAUACGCAUACACAAGCAAAUCAAAUAGAGAGAAAUUAAUCAACAUUUUAAGGUGAUUUUAGCUUUUCUAGUUUUUUCUUCUUUCUUGAUUUAUUUUCUGGAAGUGCUUCAUCACUGCAUUUAAAAAAAAAAUAGAAAUAAAGAAAACAAGGGAAAGGAAGUGUUACCGUGCAAAAAACGCCAUGGAGUUCUUCUCUUUGCUUCGUUGACGUCGAAGUUGAAGGGAGAUCUCGAGGCUGAUUCGGGCUAAAGUGGAUGUUCUUUUUAAACUUCAUUUUGCUUUGGUAAAAUAGUAUGGGAUUUUAAGGUUUUUUUUUAAAAAAAAAAAAAAGGGAGAAGGAGUGCACUUACCAGAUCUCCAUGGGCGUGACUUCCAUUGACAAAAUCUGGUCACCAUUGGUGAUCCAUUGGCCAUCAAGUAAAUGAUGGUUUGGGCGGCUGCAUGUUGAGCCAAACCCUAGUGAUAGGGGAUAAAAUUUU
rnacentral:lncRNA from 1 species